AUUGAACGCUGGCGGCAGGCCUAACACAUGCAAGUCGAGCGGAUGAAGGGAGCUUGCUCCUGGAUUCAGCGGCGGACGGGUGAGUAAUGCCUAGGAAUCUGCCUGGUAGUGGGGGAUAACGUCCGGAAACGGGCGCUAAUACCGCAUCCGUCCUGAGGGAGAAAGGGGGGGAUCUUCGGACCUCACGCUAUCAGAUGAGCCUAGGUCGGAUUAGCUAGUUGGUGGGGUAAGGGCCUACCAAGGCGACGAUCCGUAACUGGUCUGAGAGGAUGAUCAGUCACACUGGAACUGAGACACGGUCCAGACUCCUACGGGAGGCAGCAGUGGGGAAUAUUGGGCAAUGGGCGAAAGCCUGAUCCAGCCAUGCCGCGUGUGUGAAGAAGGUCUUCGGAUUGUAAAGCACUUUAAGUUGGGAGGAAGGGCAGUAAGUUAAUACCUUGCUGUUUUGACGUUACCAACAGAAUAAGCACCGGCUAACUUCGUG
rnacentral:rRNA from 1 species